UUAUAAUUGUAAUAUCAUAUUAAAUCAGCGUUAAAAAAGAUUUGUUUUUGAUUUUAUUUGAUAAUUACAACCUAAUCUCACUCAUCCAUUAAUGGUAAACUAAUAUAUUGUUAUCAAUCACUUAUUUAAAAUCAGGCCCACUUGCUUAUUUUUACAGAUUUUGUUCCUAAUUAAUGGGUAAAUUUUAAUUCAUUGGUUAAUCACCUAACAACAUCAGUUAAAUUCAUUGGUUGAUUUUUUUUGGGGUCAAAUUCAUUGGUUGAUUUUAUAUACAUUAGAAAACCUAAAGAUUACAAGUUGAUGUCAUUGCCUUGCAAAUCUUAAACGUUAGUUAUUUUGCAAAUCUAGCUAAAGUAGUUGCUUUGGUUGUUCAACAUUUUAUAUUUUAUGAAAUCAUAAAUGCAACUUUCAUGGGAAACAACCAAUGGUUAUAAUUCAUGUAAUCUUUUGGUCUAAUCUAAACUAUACUAAAAGGAAAAUAAGAUGCACAUAGAAAGUGUCCAUGUUGGUUUAAAAAAUCAACCAAUAGAGAGGCUCAGUUUUGUCACGUCAUCUUCAUUAAGCAUCAAGUCAAGUUUCUAAGUUACCGGGCUUUCGUGUGGGCUAAUAUGUACACAUUAUCAGCCCUAAGCAACUCAUCAACUUCACCUGCUUCGUACCCAUCGUAGAAACGCAAACGUUUACCACCAUUUCCGAUUCUCUUAUGUAACGUCCGUCUCCACCAAUCUUUCUCAUUAAACUCCCUUCUUUACAGCUACAAUCUGACCCAUGCAACCGUUCCAAAUCCCUGAUUUUUACCUUAUAUAAAUCCUUUCUUUGAUACUCUGAUCCUCGCAAAAUCAGGCAAUCUCUUCACUGUCCCCUUAACUUUCUCUUCUCUGAUGGCGAUCAAAUCGGCCGAUCUCUUCAUUGUCUUCUUAACUUUCUCUUCAGUCAUAUUUUUCUUGACAAGAAAUAGUUGAAAUCAUGUUUAAGAAGACUAAUCAACAGACUAGAGGAACUGGUCAGGGAAAAGAAUCCUAAGGGUGCUGGCGUCUAUGGCGUCGUAUGGAAUUGGGCCGGUUCUUCUUCCCUAGCUUCAGCGAACUGUGUUGGUCUGAGGACGACGAAUAGGAAGAAGAUGAUGAAACCGUCACUGUUUCAGAGGUCAAUAAGAUCUUGAAAGGUUUUGCCCAAAUAUGAAUAAAGCAUAAAACAUACCGAUGUAUCUCCAGUCAAAUCCUAGGCAGUAAGACAGGAGUGAUCAAAUGUCUCAAAGCAGCUAUUCAGAGAAGUCUUUGAGAAAAUCCCACAGGUGAAGGCUGGAAGAAGACCUGGUGAUGCAGAGAAUCAGAGCGCGUUAACCGAAAAAGCUUUACUUGAACUGAACUGAAAUCAAACAAUGGAACAGAAGAGAUGUGUAGGGACCAAUGUAACUGGGCCAUCAACGGUAUGAUUCCUCACCAAACACAAUAUAACAGUAAAGCUAAAUCCAACAAGCUCCAUUAUUUUUCUUUGUCUCUAAAACUCAUAAUCAUUCUGGAUUUAAGCUUUGAAGCCAAAAAAACAAUACAGAUGAGACUAAGUUUUGCUUCCAAAACUUAACAUUUUCUUUUUGCCAAUGCCAACCAUACCAGAAGCUCAAGUGGAAUUUGCUAUUCUAGCGUACCAUCUCUUAUUUUUUUCAGAGUGAUUUAAAUGUCAAUGCAACAAUCGCACCUCUCUACUAUUUGGUACAUUCCAUUACAUUAACGCAGAAAUCUGCACUGGUGUCAAUGCCUCACGGAGAUUCCAUUACACCCACGACUUAAAUAAAACAGCAAGGGCAAGAAAUAAGUCACAUGUGCUCUUUUGGCUACUAAUCGUGGAUAUGGGGUGUGAACGUGCAAGCAAGGUGUCCUCAUGUGUUCAAAAACCAAAAUUUUAUGCAGCUCCAGCCGGUGAUCCUGGAAUUGGUCUUGAACAGCUUGAGCUAAUGUGCAAAGUUUAGAACAUUGUUUCUCUUCAGUUAUAUGGAGACGAGCAAGCGAGUGCUAUCAAAGUAAAAACCUUCAACAUAGAAGGCAAUUUAUAUCUCAGUAGAAAAAAGAAGUCUGGUCAGAAGAAAAAAAUUGAUGAUGAGAUAAGUAAAUGGAUCUGACCUUCCUACCAUGUCCUAAGGUCUCGGCUGUAUAUUUUCUGCCAUAAGUAUAUCAACAAAAACCAAUGUCCGUCGUCUAGCUCCCAGGAACAACAGAGGAGUUAGUUUCCAGCAAUGUGGCCGUCACACAUGUCGUUUUUCUCCGUCGUUUGGACAUGACAUAGCCUAAGAGAAAAAUAAUAGAGUUUUCAUGAAUUAUUCA